rnacentral:rRNA from 1 species
GUGUCAGCAGCCGCGGUAAGACGAACCGUGCAAACGUUGUUCGGAAUCACUGGGCUUAAAGGGCGCGUAGGCGGGCUCGCCAGUCUGUGGUGAAAGCCCCCGGCUUAACCGGGGAAGUGCCGUGGAUACUGCGAGCCUCGAGGAGGGUAGGGGCAUCUGGAACAGCCGGUGGAGCGGUGAAAUGCGUUGAUAUCGGCUGGAACUCCGGUGGCGAAGGCGAGGUGCUGGACCCUUUCUGACGCUGAUGCGCGAAAGCCAGGGGAGCAAACGGGAUUAGAUACCCCGGUAGUCC